CUCACAGGUUGGUGUUCUUUAUGUAUCUUCUCUCAAUAAUAUCAGAACCCUCUCUCAUUUCUCUCAGCCCUCUCUCCCUUUAAUAUCAGAACCCUAGCUGCAUCUCAUUUCCCUAUAAUGAAGAACCCUAGCCGCACCUCAUUACGCACUCUUCUCUGCAAAAAUCCAAAAUCAACGAGUCUACCAUGGAAAUGUAGGCACAUCUAAGCUCCAAUCUUCCCACAGAGAUCCGCCGAAGAAAUAAUGGGAAAAGGCAGAAUAACACUCCAACUCAGAUCCAAAACAAAAAGGGUAAAAAAUGAUUUAGAUUCGAGGCAUAUAAUCCUGGCGUCAGGGCAUCUUUGCGUAGGUAUCUUCAAGUCUUUACAGCAUAGGACCCACUCCUUUAUUCAUAUAUUUUAUUGUAAUUCUUCCAUCUAUUCCUUGAUUAGUUGUAUGCUCUGAACACGUUCCGCAUCGACAUAUUUCUUUUUAAUUAUUUAUUUUCUUUGUUUGCAUGUUUAAAAUGGCUUCGUCACCCUCGGGUGUCGGCCAGCACAGUGCCUACCCUAAUAUUUGGAGAUAUCGGGGUUGGGGCGUGUCAAAAAAUCCGUUGCUGAUACAUAUACAGCGGCUGCUAAUACAACCCAAGAAAGAUGCAUAGGUCCAACAGUCACGGUACUCGUCCCCAAACGUCUGAUCUCAGCUAAUCUACAAUAACGAGCAAUGGCUGAUCUGGUGUCCGCAAAGGAAAUGGCAAAGAGUGGCUUGGUUAAAUCACAGUUCCAAGCAAACAAAAGGUAGGACACUCGGACCUAGGGUAUAUCCGAGAAAAGGAAAUGUUGAAGUUGUAGAUCCAAAGGCAAACAAAUUAUCAACUGACACAUCUUCGGAUAUGAAAGGUACACUCAUCUAUGCUGAGAUUUUGCUGGAUCUGCAAUGUGUGUGAAUGGAUAUGGAAUGCAUGUUUCAUUUGAAGAUACAUGUGAACCAUUUGGAACUUGACCUGCUCUGAGAACAAAAGAAAAAUCCACCUUCAAACUGAAUAAAUGACAUGUUUUUGUUUCUAUUUUUUUUUUUCGAAUGCAUUAGUGAUAGAUCCACUGAAAACAGUCGUGUUUCCUCAAUAACUCAUGGAGUUGUUUAUUUGUGGUAGGAAAUUUUUUAUUUAUUUUUUAUUAUUAAUAGUUUGUGGUGUCACUUAUGGGCGACAGUAUAGUUGUUAUUUUAUUUAUUGAAUUGUUAGGUGGUGUCGGUUAGGGCCGACAGUAUAGUUGUUUAUUUUAUUUAUUAAAUAGUUAGGUGGUGUUGGUUAGGACCGACACUACUAUCCUUUUUUAAUGUCGCCUAUAGCCAGCGUGAGUUUCAAUGUCACUUUUAUCCGACACUACUAUCCUUUAUUUUAUUUUAUAUUGCUUCCUUCUUCGUGGCGGAUUAAGGGGACUAACCGACAUCAAAAGUCUUUUUGUGAUGCUAGCAAUAGUGUCGGUUCUUUUAUCCAACAUUGCAUGAGUUUAUGUCAGAUUUUUACCUAUUAUACAACAUAAAUUAUGUUUUCUUGUCGAUUUUUGAACCACCAAUUAUAGGUAACUUUGUAGUAGUGAUGGUCACAUGGUGAGGCGUCUUUAUCAAUAUCUAUGUGUUGGCCUCACACUAGUUGUUCUUCUUUUCCAAAAGUAGCCUCUGAUCAUAAUUGUCUUGUUUUUCGGCCUUGAUUGUUUUACUUGGAGGCCUUCGUCCUUUCCUAUUUCAAUCCAUGUGAACUUUGCAUUCUGGUUUUAUGGAUGUGGUGGCUAGUUGUUAGCAGUCUACUAUUACAUAUGGUUGUCCCAUUUUUGUUAUGUUGCAAAUACUUAAGGCUUAAGUGUUGUCUUCGAGAUUGGAAUUAUAAUAUUUUUUUUUGUGAUUUUCUUCGAAAUGCUUGCUAGGGAGAAUCUAAGAACUAUUCAAAACAUUAUUGCUUCCUAUAGGCUGACUCAAGAUAGGUUUGAUGAUUUGUAGCUAAGACAACUGUUCUUAAUUCUCUACGUAUGAAAGAAUCUUUCUAGUGAGACCUAGCCCGAGCCUGAGUCAAAUGGCUUACUAAGGGUGAUUGUAAUACUGCAUUUUUCAUGCUUAUGCUCGUGGUAGGUCUUCAUCUUAGAGAAUUGCUACUCUUUGGGGUUGUGAUAAUGUGCUCUCUUCUCCGACUGAUAUUGUUGAUUAUGUGGCAAACUUUUAUCAACCUUUAUAUUAUUCCCCUUCAAGCCUUCUAGAAUUGAUGAUGUUUGUAGUGUAAUUCCACCUAUGGUUAGUAAGGUAGAAACUCUCCAAUCCUUUGUUCUUUAUCUUCAGUUGGCGAAAUUAAUAGUGUAGUG